rnacentral:tRNA from 1 species
GGGUCGAUAGCUCAGUCGGUAGAGCAACAGCCUUUUAAGCUGAUGGUCGUGGGUUCGAGCCCCACUCGACCCACCA